rnacentral:rRNA from 1 species
AUGGGCGGAGGAUCUCGUGGAGGCAGUAUAUGUGAACUAGAUGAUUUUUUUGGGCAACUUGACCUAACAGAGGAAGAAUUCGAUGAUCUGGUCAUUGAUGAGGAAAUUCCAGAGAUCAAAGAACGCGUCCGCUGGAUGGCUCUUGCUCGUGUUCAUACCAACAAAAGUUUCAGCCAAGCGGCGUUCUUCAAGGAGAUGCGGGCAGCCUGGAACACGGCGCAGCAGGUGAGAUUCAGGCCGGUUGGGGCCAACCUGUUCGUUGUGCAAGCAUCAUGUAUGGGAGAUUGGGAGCGUAUUAUGCAUCAGGGUCCGUGGUUGUUCAGAUUUUGGGCCGUGCUGCUGCAUCCAUAUGAUGGCCUUAGCCGAGCUGAGGAUACAUAG